rnacentral:rRNA from 1 species
AGGACGAACGCUGGCGGCGUGCUUAACACAUGCAAGUCGAGCGGAAAGGCCCUUCGGGGUACUCGAGCGGCGAACGGGUGAGUAACACGUGAGUAACCUGCCCCUAGCUCUGGGAUAGCUCCGGGAAACCGGGAUUAAUACCAGAUACGACCACUUUAGACAUCUGUCGUGGUGGAAAGGAUUCCGGCUAGGGAUGAGCUCGCGGCCUAUCAGCUAGUUGGUGGGGUAACGGCCUACCAAGGCGACGACGGGUA